rnacentral:rRNA from 1 species
GGGCGUGUGUGCUGGUAUGAGUCUUCCAUCCUUCUAGAGAGCCACGCCUGCUGUUCACUCAGCUGGGCGUGUGCGAUCUAGAUCAUUUACUUUGAAAAAAUUAGAGUGUUUAAAGCAGGCUUAUGCCCGAAUACAUUAGCAUGGAAUAAUAAAAUAGGACUUCGGUUCUAUUUUGUUGGUUUCUAGAACUGAAGUAAUGAUUGAUAGGGAUAGUUGGGGGUGCUAGUAUUCAGUGGCCAGAGGUGAAAUUCUUGGAUUCACUGAAGACUAACUACUGCGAAAGCAUUCACCAAGGACGUUUUCAUCAAUCAAGAACGAAAGUUAAGGGAUCGAAGACGAUCAGAUACCGUCGUAGUCUUAACCAUAAACUAUGCCGACCAGGGAUUGGGAGACGUUACAUGGAUGACUCCCCCAGCACCUUGCGAGAAAUCACAAGUCUUUGGGUUUCGGGGGGAGUAUGGUCGCAAGGCUGAAACUUAAAGGAAUUGACGGAAGGGCACCACCAGGAGUAAACUUGAAAAACUGCUGCACUUUUAUGCAUUGCAUGCAGGUAUCUGCUCCAAAAAGCUGGCUGCCAAGAUAGUGGUGAUUACUAACCAACUAACUAUCUAGGGUAAACAGUAUCCAGCUAGUCAACUCUGCACGAUUUUAAGUUUGUUUCUUACAAUCGAACAAUCGAUCAUCACAGUGCAGAUGAUUGGCGACACUAUCAAAUUGCGGGAAGUUCCUAAAGC